GGGUGCUGUCCGAGUUCAAACAAACGGCAUCACACGAGGACUAACAAUAUUAUACAGCAAGCAGGAAAGAUUCGCUGAAAUCACGGAGUGGACUGAUCAACCGUCGGUGAAGGUGGCGAUCACAGUCGAUGCGCCUGCAGUUGUCAAACUGAUUAUGGAGAGGUUAAUGGACUGAUGAUGAGAAUGGUUGUGUUGUGUAUCAUUUUGGAUAAAAAAAUUUAUCCCCAAAAAUAGCAGUAAGUGUAACAAUAUAGAAUGUCUCA